rnacentral:lncRNA from 1 species
CCAAAUUGAACUUGUCCACAGGUAUGAAACUUGCUCCACUCACUAAGAUCUACUUGCUUGUAAAAUUUGGUAAUUUUUGGAAAUAGUUGAAUUUUCCGGCGAGUCGAGACGGCCGACCGCCACACGCGGCGGCGCGUGGCCAGUGGGCCGACGAUGUCUUUCUACUUUUCUAGGUCCAAUUAGAUGCCUUGAAUUCAUAAUUGAUAUCUGUAUGAAGUGGUUUGAUUGUUUGAACUUAGUUUCAUUAUGAUACAUCAUUUGAUCAAAAUUUGAAUCGACGAUCCGACCGUUGGAUCGUGACCAAACUUUAAUGUGUUAUAAAACGUAAUAUUUGAGGAUAGUUGGAACUGACGGAUCGGGAAUCCGACAUACGGAUCUUCUUGAAUUGGAUUUCUAAGUUAGGAAAAUUAAUUGUUAACCGCCACCUAAUCCUAGCAAUAGGCGAAGAUCCAACUGUUGGAUCACAAUGAGAUUUUAGUAUGUUGUUCUUUGAGCAUAAUGUAGACCUUAAGGAGUUAUGGAUCUAGAUUAUGAGUGCGGAUCUUUCGGAUUAAAUUGUGAGGGUGUGGACCCCACCGUUGAUUUUUGUCAACAGGUCUUGAACCAUUUGAAUUACUAAAAUUAGUAUUACUAGAGACUCAGUGAAGCUUUGAGGACUUGUCUCGGUGAGUGACUUUAAUAAAUAUGAUAUGGUGAUUACCCGAUUCUUGAUAUUAAUAUCCUUUGUGGAUAUGAUAUGGUUUUCUGUUAAAAUGUGAUUCUUUUAUAAUUGGCCAUCGAUCUAUUUUUAUUAAAUGUGAAUUGAUUCAUGGAUUGGUAAUAUUUGUUGAAAAGUGAUUCGAAUUGCAUAUUGAAAUGUUUUUUAAAUUAAGGGUUAGUAGUGGACCAUGACCCUGCUUGGUUAAUCCGCAUUGGGGGGUCACUAGUGGUCCUACUUGGUUAAUCCGCAUUGG